rnacentral:lncRNA from 1 species
GCCACAGCAAUGCCAGAUCUGACAUCUGCAAACUACACCAUAGCUCAUGGCAGUGACAGAUCCUUAACCCACUGAGAAAAGCCAGGGAUUGAACCCACAACCUCAUGGUUCCUAGUCAGAUUUGUUUCCACUGCACCACAAUGGGAACUCCUAUCUGUGUCUUGUAUAUCACCUGGGUUGGGGUCCUCAUUGCCAUCUAGCAAGUGCAAUACCCAGGCCCUAAAUCCCAUCUUACAGUCUGCUUUCUUAGAGCACAUCUUGUAACACUGUGUCAGUUGGACUCCCAGGGAGUAGACACUGGGAUGAUGUUAAGGAGUGCAAAUGUUUUAUUGGGAGGUACUACUUGUGAAAGGAAAAAUGAAGGAGCUUGGCAGAGGGAAGUGUCAGACCACAAUACAUCUCAGACAAAGUCUCUGGCAGCAUAAUAGGGAGUUUCAGAGAAAAUAUUGUCUGUUGGUUGUAAAAUGGAUAGUCUUUAUUUUAUUUUUUUGGUUUGUUGACUCCAGGAAGAAUAUGACAGCUGAAAGGUGGAUAAGUGAAGGAGUAAACACCAGAAGACUCUCAGCUAACCAUACUCCUCAUAGCUGGGCAAAAAAAAAAAAAAAAAAAAUCCUUUCUUGAAGGAGAUUGUGAACCAUGAAUAUCUAUACCUGCUACAGUUGUGAGUGCUGAUCUCUGCCUCCAGUUGUUGAAGCUGGGUAGAUCUUGAUGAUGUGGCCUAAAGCUUAUGGUGGGCAAAGCAGCAAAUAGCAAUUAUUUUGUCCUUGGACCAGUAUGUUACAAUAGAAGCAUACAUGGGUCUAUAAAUGGGAAUUUCUCUCUUCUAUUCUAAAAAAGGAGCAGGCAAGAUUGACAGAACUAUGAGACUAUUCCAAAGCCAAGAGUAGCUGAUCAGUGUCUGUUUUAAGAGGUAAGUGUUCAAAUAGAUUUUUAUGGUAAACUUUUCCAUUCAACUAUAGAUUCAACCCAAACACAGGAUUUGGUUUUGGGGAAAAAAAUCUGAAAUUGAAGCAUCAGAAAAACUAGUUUUCCUAAAGAGACAAACUGGUGACUAUUACAAUAAAAACAAAACAAAACCCAAACUUGUCCUUGAUAUAGGUAUAAACACAUCUUGGUACUCCAUUCUUCAUGAUUUGUUUCUUUCUCUAUCAAAGCUAACUUCAUUUUUCAAGCACCAGUAAAAUCCUUCUUGGAGACAAAUGUUGUCACUUCAGCUGUUUAAGAGAGGGAGUAUUAGAUCAAGAAGACACAGAACCCUUGGGAAAGAUUUUCACAUCACAUCUUAAGAAGGACUUUAAAUGAGCCAGCCUGGCUUGCAAAUGAUGUCUGUACUGAAAGCCUAGUGGAAUUAUUCAAAAUGGAAAGGUAAUCAGAAUCACUUUCACACACCACUUCUCUUUUGCUCUCAGCUACUACAUAUGUAUCUCAUUCUGAGGUUGGAUUUUGCCCUCAGGACCAUCCUAUACCAAUGGUGAAAGCAGAGGCCAGUAAGAGAGAGGCAGCAGUAGGGGAACAGAAUAUCCAGUCACACAUUGAGAACAGUUUGGGGUAGGGGUUAUGAUCUGAGAGGCACAGAUUUGCUUUGUUGGCUAAUUUUCUUCCAAGUCUUAUUAUGGGGGCAGAGAAGACAGAACAUGGGCAUAGUUGACAUGGAUCUGACAUGUCUUCUCAGACUAUCUUGGCAAUGCUCAACUUUCAGAACCUCCUCUUCUACCUCAAGUUCUGCUUAGCCUGAUCCUAGUCAGGUGUGAUUUCUCCCUUGAGAUUUUCCUAAUAGGGUCUACCUGAUGAGCAACUUCCCAUGACCUGUGCUGAAGCAGCAGCAAACACGGCAAUGAUUCACCUCCUCCAAGGCCUCUUCCCUUUAUUUUUUUCCUUGAGGCCUAGGACUUGUUCCUUCAAAAGAUAUUCUCGGGCUCUGUUUUUAGAGAGUCCAGGAUAAGCCAGUAAGAUUAUCUAAGGUAGGUUUUGUCAAUCAGAUAAGGAAAAGGACCAUUCAAAUCGGUAGAGAAGUUGGUGAGAAUAUUUUAAGUUAUAGGUGUGAGACUCAAGUCACAUUCCCCAAGCUGAGAAGGCCUAAAUGAGCAAAUAGUUUGAAGCUUGUUGAACAGGUAGAAAACAAUGAUCGAUAGUAGAAGGUAGGCGUUGAAAAGUUGUAAUUUCUGGAAAUACUUUUAGACUCGGUUACAUGAAUUGUGUUCUAAUUUUGGGUGGAGUGCCAGGUCCCAAGAGGUACAUGGACCAGCCUCCCUAAUAAUAGUAGCUAGCCUCUAUAAUGGCACUCCCAGUGAUCCUUCCCUCCUGGUAUUUUUAUCUUGUGUAGUUAUCCCCCUCUAUGUUGUACCAGGGUUGGUAUUUUUUGAUCAACUGGAUAUGGAAAAAGUGAUGGUAUGUUGCUUCCAUGAUUAGGUUACGAAAUAUGUUGUGGCUUUAUCUUGGCUCUCUCCUUUGCUCCCUUUUUUCUCUAUUAGAUCACUAGUUGGAGGCAAGUAGUUGGUAUAUUGUGAGCAGCUUUAUGGAAAAGUCCGGAACUGAGAUUUUUUGAUAACAGCCAAAUUAGUGAGCUUGGAAGAAAAUCAUUUUGCUGUCUCAUUCAUACCUUCAGAGCUCUAAAGCCUGGUGCAGCUUGACUGCAAGCCCAUGGGAGGUCCUGAGCCAGAACCAUCUAGCUAAACCACUCCUGGAUUCAUGACCAGAUAAUUUAAAAAUUGUUUUAUGCUACUAAGUUUUAGAGAAAUGCUAUGAAACAGGAGACAAUUAGUACAGUGCUUGACCCACUGAACAGAUGGUUCUUCUCUCCAUUUUUAACUUUGAAAUAUGCUUCAACCAUCACAAACUUCUCUCUGUUGAAACCCAUUCUGCCAGCCAUCCUGUACCAAAAAUUCCAGGUAAGUAAACUAUCUCUAAGAAAAUUUUCUCAGAGUGGUUGAGGAACUUCUAAGCAUUGAGGAAACAACUGUAAAAUUCAUUUGCAGUUUGCCUUUCAGCCAAGGAGUUACAAUCCACUUCAAAAUCUGUGGUCCAUGGAUACCAAAUGAAGGCAGAUGUUCUUCUUUCCCAUAGAGACAGAACAAAGGCUUGUGGAAAGAAUUGCUACCUUGAGUACAGUUAGCAUUAGUGACCAUUAAUCUUUCUUACUGAUUUCUGGUAGCUUUGGUAGCUCUGUGGGGGUGAGUCCUUAAAAAGACAAACUGGCUCUCUGUCAUGUGCAGCCACAUAUAAGGUAUCAACUCUGAAGGUGAGCAAGACCAUGAAGUUACAGGUUAAUUCUGGAAUAAAUAAUGAAUUAGGGUGUUUGUGUUAGUUUUGUAUUGCUGUAUACCAAAUUAGUACAAACUUAGUGGCUUCAAAGCAGCACAGAUUUGUUAUUUUAGAGUGUCUAUGGGUCAGGUGUCCAGGCAUAGGUUAGCUGGACAGGAUAUGCUCAGGAUAUAAUCAAGAUGUUGGCCAGGUCUUGAUUUCAUCUGAGGCUUGGGCUCAUCUUCCAAGCUCACUGGUUAAAGGCAGAAUUCAGUUAUAAGACUGCAGCCUUCAUUCCUAGAAGUUGUUUAGCUGUUCCCUAUUAUAUGGCCCUCUCCACAGAAUGGCAGUUUGCUCCUGCACAGCCAAAAAGAGAACAUCUCUGCUGAUGUGGAUCACCAAGUCUUCUCUUACCUCUAGAUCUUGUCAAGGUCUCAACCUGAUUAGGGAAAACCCAUUUGGGCUUAACUGCCUUUAAAUUAACCCAACUCAUUAGGGACUUUAAUUACAUCUGUUACAUCCUUUCAUCUAUGCCAUGUAAGGCAACCUGACUAUGGAAAUGGAAUUCCAUCACAUUUACAAUUUCUACCCACACCCAGUGGGAGGGGACUAUACAGGGUAGGUAUGCAAGGGUUGUGAAUCUUGGGGGCAUCUUAGAAUCCCGAUUAUCACAGUGUUCCUGUCAGUAUCUUCAGGUAAGUGUAACUUCUGACUUUAUAUUAGGUUCUGCCUCUGAUAUCCACAGUAUUUUGUCCUUUAUCUGAUAAAAGGAAACAAGUUUCAAAGGUGGCCUCUUUAUCCCAUAAGACCAAGAUGUGGGAAAAUCUUGGGAGGGGAAGUGAGUAGAGCCCAUUACAAGAAGUUUUGACUGGCCACUUAACCUAAGAAAUUAAAAAAAAAGUCUUUCAUGCAUUAGGAGUAUGAUACUGAAGGCUUUCUUGGAGUGGUCCUGGGUUGUGUGUUUUGGUCCAGACCUUGCACCUCUAAUUGAAUCAUUUGACAUAUCAUUUGACUCCAGUGUAUACUAUGACUGAUGCUAGAUUCAGAGGAACAGUUCUUUCUCUGUGGCCAGUGGCUAUGUCUAAAAUAAGCAUGAAGUGUUGCUCUGUAGAGGACUCAGGAGAAAGACUGAUACCCUGUGCAAUGUAAGGGUCCAUCAGGGGGUCUCUCCUGUGGAAGAAGAACAGUUACUAUUUGUCAUGCUGAGCACACACUCCUGAAAGUAGGUGGCCCACUAGGAUCUUACAGAAUGUCAUUGCUGCUGAUGCUGCCUGUGAUUCUGCCACGGCAACAAUUCUGACUCAUAGGGUUAUAGGGAAAAACACCAAUGACACCCCUCUGGUACAGCCAAGGGGUUAAUUCAAACGUAAGUCUGGUGUCAUUAAACCCAGGAAAGCAACGGUUGCUAUGGAGGGGGGAGAUAACCCUGAUGAUAGUUAUUUUGAGCCUCUUUGAAGGAAAAAUUUUAUAAAUAUGAAAGGAUAUAGAAUAUAUAUCUGAUAACAAAACAAAACUUGGAUACAAGGGAAGGAAACAAAGAAUUGCAAUAAAGGUCCACAUUUUAACCCAAUUGUAAAUGCAAAAUUUACUAAGAAUUUACACAACAGGAGUUCCCAUCAUGACUCAGUGGAAAGGAAUCUGACUAGGAACCAUGAGGUUGCGGGUUUGAUCCUGGCCUUGCUCAAUGGGUUAAGGAUCCAGCGUUGCUGUGAGCUGUGGUGUAGGUCAGACAUGGCCUGGAUCUAGUGUUGCUGUGGCUAUGGUGUAGGCUGGCAGCCGUAGCUCUCAUUAGACCUCUAGUCUGGGAACUUCCAUAUGCUGUGGGUGUGGCCCUAAAAAC